GAAAAUAACACGUGUUACCUGAGCAAUACUCUCAACCUCAAAAUUCAAACGUAAUUAGAACUGCCAAAGGAAUGAAAGAACAUAGAUACUAAUGCUAAAGAUAAACCUUUUCUUCAUUCAAUAAGUCUUGACGGUGUCUUCAGAUCAGAUCAGAGAACAGCAAGACAACCGUAUUUAUUUGCCCAAUGUUUUUGUUUGCUCAAUGACCAAGUUUGUGAAAUCCACACAUAAGCUCACCUAAAAAAAAAAUUUUUAACUGUAACACGACACUGUAAGGACUGGGAGUAUAGUAUUAACACAAGCUGCCGUUACAAUGAAGUGCAAUGGCAUGAACAUUCAGCAAUACCAUUAUGAGCCUGCUGACCAAACUAAGGAAAGAAGGAUUUUAUAUCAAACUAGGAUUCACUAUAGUGUGUGCUGUGGUAGAUUGUUACAUUUUUGAAAUUUAUUUAUAAAUACUGCUGACUCACUCAAGCCUAGAUAGGAGUGAACAUACAGAAAAUGCAAGCACCAAGGAACAAGAAACACCAACACUGGAAAACUAAAUUUCUUAGCUAAACAUUUCAACUCAUAAAUAUGUUAACAUUCUUACUUUCAACAAUGCUCUUAGGCAAUUCAUUUGAUUCUUUGCCUAAUAAGAAAAUAUAUGUGUAUUUAUAUCAGUCAUGGCAUGUAGUUUCUGUAUCAUUCCUCUGCACAUUUGAUGAGCAUUCACACAAGAAACGGGAAACAGCUAAAGCGAUUUCAUAAUGCUGGACUUUGUCAGGGUAUAUUAAAUACAAGACGUUUAGUCUGUUUUAUGCAUCUCGAGUGGUGAAGAGUACUCAGCAUUUGCGACACACCAUCAGUUAUUCGGUGGUGAUUCCGGAUGAACCCAACUGCUAUUCGCUGCACCCAUUCUGAUUUACUAAAUUUUUUUUUUGCAUACGGGCACCACGAAGCUGAUGCAUACUCAAGGAGACCUCUGACAAGCACGGUGAACACUGACCCUGGGUGCUGAAGCGCCAUCUCGGCGCAUGUUAGGCGAAGAACUGCAAGCGAAGUAUGGCUUCAGCCGCGAAACAUGCAUGAUGUCAACAGGUGUUGGACUUGAGGAUGGAUCAACCUGAUCUCGUAAUGACUUCAUAAGGCCUUGUCUAGCGAGUGAGAAGCUUCUGGGAGAGGCCGACCUGAUGACGAAAGGAGCACCCAAGAACCUGGGGCGAACUCAACAUCGCGAUGCACCAGUCAUAAUGCUCUUUUUGUAUAUGCUGCGAGGCUAAUAAACAAGAUCGGGUGACUUGACUUGCCAUGUGAGCGCGAU